CCUCUGUGGAGGAGCCUGAGAGAAAGGCUCAUGGAGGGCAGAGGGUGGAGGGCGUGGGACCAAGUUCCUUAGAUAAGGCUGUGGCCCCAUGGUAAGGGUCUGGACGGGGAAGUGAUUCAUCCAGGUGGCGCUAGGAGGGAUCUUCGCCGCAGAGGGCAUUCGAGAGAUGACAACUCUAGACAUCCAUGCAACUUCUGUUCUUGUGCUCCUGCUGUUUUCAAAUUCCACAGUCACAGACUGCACCCUGGAAAACUCAGGACACCCUAGAGUGAACUGCUCUGAAGAACAAAGUUGCUACUUGCUUGCUACCUCUGGUUGCUACCCCUGGUUGUGUUUGGUUGCCACAUAAUGAAAUGAUUUUCCUUCCCUCUUUUAUUUCCUUUCUUUCUUUUUUUUCUGCUACAAAUGGAAAAAUAGUUUGAUCACCUUGAAUCUUUUCACCCUUGGUAUUCUCCCCCUUCACACCCGAGCACCGCCCCUUGAUAAAUGAGAACACGUGUACUGAAAUCGCAGACUUCACCCUCCAGACUCAUCGUCCUCAUGCUCUCAGGGGGGACAUGUUUCCUUUCAAACCUCCAGAAUAAAUUCAUCACAGCAGGAAGAAGAUUGUUUUUCUUAAAAAAAAUCAAA
ensembl:lncRNA LINC00445 long intergenic non-protein coding RNA 445